rnacentral:rRNA from 1 species
GACGAACGCUGGCGGCGUGCCUAAUACAUGCAAGUAGAACGCACAGUUUAUACCGUAGCUUGCUACACCAUAAACUGUGAGUUGCGAACGGGUGAGUAACGCGUAGGUAACCUGCCUGGUAGCGGGGGAUAACUAUUGGAAACGAUAGCUAAUACCGCAUAAUAUUAAUUAUUGCAUGAUAAUUGAUUGAAAGAUGCAAUUGCAUCACUACCAGAUGGACCUGCGUUGUAUUAGCUAGUAGGUGAGGUAACGGCUCACCUAGGCGACGAUACAUAGCCGACCUGAGUGGGUGAUCGGCCACACUGGGACUGAGACACGGCCCAGACUCCUACGGGAGGCAGCAGUAGGGAAUCUUCGGCAAUGGACGAAAGUCUGACCGAGCAACGCCGCGUGAGUGAAGAAGGUUUUCGGAUCGUAAAGCUCUGUUGUAAGAGAAGAACGGGUGUGAGAGUGGAAAGUUCACACUGUGACGGUAUCUUACCAGAAAGGGACGGCUAACUACGUG